AGGUAAUACUAUUUAAGAAACCUUACUUCUUUGGCAGCCUAUUUUCUUAUUAGAGGAACUCGUUAGAUAAUCGACUUUACUCGUUCAAUUUCACAAGUUUUUAUGUCUUUAUACCGCCGUCUGAAGAAUAAAUUUAAAUCUUCUUUUCUAAAAAGUUUUCUUAUAAGUCAGGUCAAGGUGAAAUUUAUAAAUUUGGGCUUAAUAAGUUACUCAUUAAAAUAAUUAAAGAAUUCUAUGUAAAAACAUAAAUGAAAAAGGAUUUGAUAGUAAUUUUUUAUUAAUAUUGUAAAAUGAAAUUGCAAAACAGGUGU
rnacentral:rRNA from 1 species